GACGCUUUGACCCGGAAAUGGCUAUCCUGACUGGAAUUGGCUAGGCAGAAGUGUCCGCCUGGGAAGGCUCCUCCUUGCUGAAAGCUGUGUGAAGAACCCUCUGGAGGAAGGGGCCACCAGGGAGAGGCUGUCACGCUCAGGGUUACAGUGGGCACUCCAGAGGGCAGCAGCUGUGGCCCUAAGUACUAGGAAGACACACCCCAGUCCCGGGAGGCACCAGAGGCUUCUGGAAGCUGGUCCAGGCCCCUGCUCAGCUUGUGUUUCAGCUCGAAGGAAUGAACCUCUUCCUCCAGUGUGCUUUCACAACUAUGCGCUGUCUCAACAAAGGCCUAAAGGCGAGGAAGCCAAGCAACCAUGAACAGAAAUCUCCAAAACUGUUACAAGCAGAAGAAAUGAGAGAAAAAGACCCAGAUGGUCUUAUAAUAAAACCAACUGUUGGAAAAGUAAGUGUCCUUCACCGUACACUUAGAAACGUCCCCUAACUUAACACUUAGACUCACCCUAACAGAAAUUGUCACCAGGGCCUCACCAC